UUGAAGGAAAGACUUUUUCUGGUGAACAGGGGCUGGAAAAUGUCCUUGGCUUCCUCGAGCACUAAUGUCCAUUAAUCAGGACAAUAGCUAUAGGUCUGUAGUUCUCACCAAGGACAUCUGGACACAUCUGAACACAAUUUGUUGAGCCCUUCCAGAAACUGCCUCAUAGACACCAUCCUGUCACGCUGAGAUUGCCAUGAACUGUCGCACCAACCGAAAGGAAGGAGUCAAACAAGAAAGUCUCUGCUGUGGAAAUCUGGCCACCACACAACUUCCUGGUUGCUGGCUAGAGAUCACGGAAGGAGCUGGCUGUCGAGACAUCUCAUGUGAAAACUGAACAAAUUUAAUACUGAAGUUACUGAGAGGAACUAAAGUGUGACACCCUAUGGAGACUACAGGGUAGACUGUCACAUUCUCACUGAACCUGAUGUGUCAUUGUCCAAGAGAAGCUAACUUCUAUGAGAGUGGCCUGGUGCUGAGGAAGCCUGUGACAGGCCCAUGACUGACAGCUAACCUGAGGCCCAUCCUAUAGGGUCCACUGAGCACUGGAGGUACUAAACAGACAAAGAAGAUCUCUCAAGGAGGGACUUCUCCCAGAAGUAAAUAUGAGUCCAACAUCCACCAAAGAGGAGGAUGGGAUGUUGAAUGACUAUGAAGGACAUAAAACCAAAGACAAGGAAAGACUAAUGCAUGCGCCUCAUCUCCCUCAACAAGCCACUGACGAAACCACUCCCUGCUUACAGUACUCCUUCAGACCCAAAGGAACAUCUGCUUUAGUCUGGGACAGCUCCCCUGUUACCCAUCAUCCCUCCUUUCUAUUGAUCAUUUAUUUGUUGAAAGGACCAGAGCUUAUAUUUUUGACCGUUUCCCAGAUUCUCAGCUUGUAUUAUUACGGACUCAUUUCUCCAUCACCUGCAUCUUCUCCAAACAGAGGCUUCAGUUUUGCUUUGUGUCAUCCUCUUCCUCACAACCAAAUGCCUCUGGUGCUACUGGACAGGAGGUACCAAUGCUAUCACUGGAGGGAAAAUAUUCUUGGAGGUCAGUUAUUCUUUCAAGUGACUUGGUAUCAAACUUGACUUCCCCGAGAUUCGGAAAAUGAAACGCAUGCAGGUGUGCACGUUCGGGAUGGAAUUCCAAACCAAACAAAAUGCACAGACUUGUGCAAUGGCCAAGAAGGACCGGCAUUGCAGCUCCUUGCAGCUCGGUCUUGGGGAACAGACAUUUCUCCGACAGUAAAUUCCAAUAAAGUUGGUGGGUGUAGCACUAAUGACUCCACUCUGAGUCACUCCUAGGGACCUGAAAUCACGCAAGGAUUACCCAGCAGGAUGGUGGAGGGAGGGAGAGGUCAGCAGUUCUGAUUCCAUGGGAACCCGAUUUCAGAAGCAGUCCUCUAAUGACUUUGAUGCUCUGGUUAAGGGCUUCCCAAUAGCACUGGACUCCAAGAGGAGAGCCGGGAGGGAAGUGGAGAAAUGUAGGGGUGUUUAUUAUCUUGAUGUUUGUACCUGAGACAGCAGAAGAAAGCAGUGGAUCCAUCAGUAGGCAAAACAACAAAGCGUG
rnacentral:sRNA from 1 species